AUCUAAGUAGCUUAUAAAGAGAGUAUAACAUUGAAGAUGUUAGGGAAGUAAUUUACUCUUAGAUA
rnacentral:tRNA from 1 species